rnacentral:pre_miRNA from 1 species
UGUAAACAUCCUUGACUGAAAGCUUCAAUCUGCUUAGCUUUCAGUCGGAUGUUUACUGC